GGCCGAGUGGUGUAGUUGGUUAUCACGUGUCGUUAACAUCUAGAAUGCUAACGCCGACAAGGUCCUCGGUUCGAGUCCGGGCUUGGUCA